rnacentral:rRNA from 1 species
UUACGAAUCGAGCUGUUUUUCUGGAAAAUAAUUAUUCGCCUUUCGUACUAUACACCAACUCUGGUAGAUUUUUAAGAAUUAUUGAUGAAACAAGCAUAUUGAAUUCGGCAAAUUUUUUCUGUAACUUAGGAAUAAAGA